rnacentral:rRNA from 1 species
UGUAACUGACGCUAAAGCUCGAAAGUGCGGGUAUCGAACAGGAUUAGAUACCCUGGUAGUCCGCACGGUAAACGAUGGAUGCCCGCUGUUUGCGAUAUACAGUAAGCGGCCAAGCGAAAGCGUUAAGCAUCCCACCUGGGGAGUACGCCGGCAACGGUGAAACUCAAAGGAAUUGACGGGGGCCCGCACAAGCGGAGGAACAUGUGGUUUAAUUCGAUGAUACGCGAGGAACCUUACCCGGGCUUGAACUGCAGGCGAACGAUACAGAGAUGUUGAGGCCCUUCGGGGCGCCUGUGGAGGUGCUGCAUGGUUGUCGUCAGCUCGUGCCGUGAGGUGUCGGCUUAAGUGCCAUAACGAGCGCAACCCCUUUCGUCAGUUGCCAUCAGGUGAUGCUGGGCACUCUGGCGACACUGCCACCGUAAGGUGUGAGGAAGGUGGGGAUGACGUCAAAUCAGCACGGCCCUUACGUCCGGGGCUACAUACGUGUUACAAUGGGUGAUACAGAGCGUCGGCGCUUGGCAAUAAGCGUCCAAUCGUGAAAGUCAUCCUCAGUUCGGAUUGGGGUCUGCAACCCGACCCCAUGAAGCUGGAUUCGCUAGUA